GGUGACAGCUCUGCCCGUCAUGCGUCGUAAAAUGUCUUUUGGGUCACUUCAAUGGCGCAUUCUGUUCGCAUGUCAUGCUAUCUCUCCCUUUCCCGCGGUCUUGAAAUUGCAGAUUUCUCCUUCUGAGUAUUCGCCUUCACCCUUCGCCAUCGAAUUUUUUCUGGCAAACUCGCUUCAUUGGCCCUACACGCUCUUUCCUGAUGCAUCACCUCCCUCCAUUCAUCAGCCUGAUCGCCUUCGCGCUUCACCUCGGUCCUUCCCUUCGUCGGCGCAUCCGCUCAUGACUGUGGUUCAUCUUCUCUCUCUCUCUCUCUCUCUCUCUCUCGUCUUCCCUUCCCCUUAUUAUAUUCCUUUGAAUUUGUUCCAGGUUUCCACAAAGGCAGAUUUGGGGAUCUGAAGGAGAAGUUUUCGGAUGCAUUUUAAUGAUAAAUUGUCUUCCGAUAUUCCUGGGUAGCUGAAUCAGAAUGGAUAGUGGAAAAGCCAAUCAGAUUGUCAUCUCUUGCUUCGUCUGGAAUGGUUAUCACUUCUGGUCCUUUGUCUUCACUUAAGGCUGAAAUCCUUAUCCUUCUGGGAGAUUUUGCAAGUGAAGGCCAGGAAGAUUGGAUUGAGGAUGACCUCAUUACCACUGUGAUACGUGAAAGGGAAGGAUAAAACCCCUUGUUGGUAGGAGAUACAGUAAUUUCUCUGAGCAAUGGGCUUGGCAUAGUUGCAGAUCAAUGUCAGUGCAAAUUCCUACUGGAUUCGUAGCAGCAAUCCGGGCCGGGUGCCAAAGUCCUGCCUGGCAGACGUAUUGCACAAAAAAUAAGGAUAGCAAAAACUUCGGCUUUCAUGUGAAAGUUCAUCGUGGAGAAUUGGUCCCUGAGGUUGUGCACGGUUGCUUAAAACAUCGCUUUCUAGGGUUGUCUCUUCCUCAUUUGAGAGAAACCGCACGUGCUCCGCACAGACCCUGGAAGAUCCUACUGCGAUCUCACCGUCUGGUUGUUCAGAUGGAUUCAGUGUAAUUUCAAUGGCACGCACUAGAGGAGGGAGUGUUAGUGGAAGAGGGAGAACUCCUCGCAACACCAGGAGCCGAAACGCAGAGACUCAUCCUACUGGGCUUAGGACGCCUGGUGGAAACAUCCAACAACAGCAAACAUUCAUAAUGAACACUCUACAUAUGAUUACGGGGUUGAUGCAUGGACUGGCGCAAAAUGCUUCUUCAGGGAGAACUAGUACGAAUACGAACGAGACAACAAAUGGUGAGGCAAGGGGAGUAACUCACCAACAGUUUAUGAGCUUGCAUCCUUCGAAGUUUCAUGGAAAAGGCACUGCUGACGAUGCUGAAGAGUUGAUAAAGGAAACUAAGGAGAUCUUUACCACCCUGGAAGUGUCUGACAAUAAAAAGGUUCGGUAUGGAACCUUUAUGCUAAAAGGAGAGAUGCUAAGGAAUUGUGGCAGACGCAACGUGAAGUGAAGUUCGCAAAUCAUGAAGCGAGUUGGGGAGAAUUCAAGAAAGCCUUCACACAUGCCUACAUCCCAACCUUCGCACGGGAGAAACGCAUGCAAGAAUUCUUAGAACUUCAAUAAGGGAGACUGAGUCUGCACGAAUACGUCAUCAAAUUCAGACACUUAGAAAAAUAUUUCCCCCAUGUGUAUACUGCUGAUGUGGACAGAGCAAAUAAGUUCGUCAGAGGACUUAAAGACGGGUUGCAGAGCCAAGUAAUGACUAGUCGUCCAAGAGAUCUAGACGACGCUAUCGAUAUGGUCACACCUUUUGAUGAGGACGGGAACAGGACGCAUGGGACAGAUAGGAUGAGUGAAUUUCUGCGAUCCAAGUCGAGGCCUUACAUGUUCAAGAGAAGGCGUAGUGACAGGGUGAACCAAGGGGAUAGAUUCAAGAGGCAGAGGCCAUCAUCUUUCAGGCAGGAUGAGGAAUGUCCCACAUGUCAUCGCCAACACCUGGGCAAACCAUGUUAUAGAGAGGUCGAGGUAUGUCUCUAUUGCGGAACGCGAUGACAUUUUAUUCGUGAGUUCCCAAAGAAGAAAGAGGCAGAGCAGAGGCAAGGUGCAGCCAACCAACCAGCAGAGAAGAAGGUACCUGGGAGAGUUUACGCGACCACAGUUGAAGAUUUGAAACCUACUGACGUGAUUGAAGGUACUCUUCUUGUACAAUCUCAUUGGGCUCAUAUUAUGUUUGACUCUGAUGCAUUGCAUUCUUUUGUUUCUAAGAGUUUUGCUGAAACUUUAAAGUUAGAAAGAAAGAAUAUGCCUUAUGAAUUGUUAGUUGCUACGCCUAUGGGAAACAAAGACACAUGCAGAACGUAUCUAGAAAAUGUGAAAAUAGAAAUACAUGGACAAUUAUUACCAGCACAGUUGGUGGUAAUAAAUAUGAUGAGGUAUGACGUAAUCCUAGGAAUGGAUUGGUUAUGUCAUCACUACGCGACGAUAAAUUGCA